AAUUGACAAUUAGCGGCUGGGUCUGAAUUAUAAGUUAAUUCGGAUUACGAGGAGAAGGUUUUUCCGACAUAUACAUGUAUAUGUCUGGAGAGAAAAUCGGAUUAUCAGCGGAUGCCUUCAGGUUGUUUUUUGCCAACCUAAAAAAUUAUUAAAAACUGGAGAAAUUCCAGGGACAAAAAUAAUUAUUGCAAAGU
rnacentral:ncRNA from 3 species